GACGAACCGUACGAACGUUAUUCGGAAUUACUGGGCUUAAAGGGUGCGUAGGCGGCGCAGUAAGUUGGGUGUGAAAUCUCGGAGCUUAACUCCGAAACUGCAUUCGAUACUGCCGUGCUUGAGGACGGGAGAGGAGACUGGAAUUUACGGUGUAGCGGUGAAAUGCGUAGAUAUCGUAAGGAAGACCAGUGGCGAAGGCGGGUCUCUGGACAGGAACUGACGCUGAGGAGCGAAAGCGUGGGGAGCGAACAGG
rnacentral:rRNA from 1 species